rnacentral:lncRNA from 1 species
UUAUAUCAAUAGCACAUAAAUUGCAUUAUUAUCAAACCUUCAUAUCUUGCAUGAAUAUACAAUACAUUAGUUCAUACUCAAUUAAUAUCAAUAUAGUCUUAAACAACUCUACUGGCUGCAGUAAACAUCAUCACUAGGUCUCAAUGCCAAUUAGGGGUUCACUCUUGAUCAACACAUGCGACACAGAUCGCACAAACACUCAAGCAACUACCUUCUGGUUGUACUCGCGAGGCGAGAGUACUUACUCGCCAUGGCGAGUAACACUAAUCUCCCAAACUGAUGUUGUUCUGGGUUCAAUCCUGUCCUAAAAUCAUCCCUAAUCAAUACUAGGUAUGUUCAGGUACUCAAAGGCACUCAAGGUCCAACUAAAAAGGUCGAAACACGAAAUAUGACAUGCACUCUGCCUAAG